rnacentral:rRNA from 1 species
UACGUAGGGCGCAAGCGUUGUCCGGAAUUAUUGGGCGUAAAGAGCUCGUAGGCGGUUUGUCGCGUCUGCCGUGAAAACCCGAGGCUUAACCUCGUGGCUUGCGGUGGAUACGGGCAGACUAGAGGUAGGUAGGGGAGAAUGGAAUUCCCGGUGUAGCGGUGAAAUGCGCAGAUAUCGGGAGGAACACCGGUGGCGAAGGCGGGUCUCUGGGCAUUAACUGGACGCUGAGGAGCGAAAGCAUGGGGAGCGAACAGG